GAAUUGAAAGCUAAUUUUAAGCAUUGAUCUUGUAAAUCAAAGAUAGAGAUUCCUCUCAAUUCU
rnacentral:tRNA from 1 species